rnacentral:lncRNA from 1 species
CCACACCAAACCGCAUCACCCCCCCACCACCCCCCCAGGGAUUUAUUUCUGCCCGGUGCCUCCCGGGGGGGGGGGACCCCCAGACCCCGGCUGCGGGUCCCCGCUACCCCCAGCCCCGAGCCGGCUGCGGAGCGGGGGUCUCGGGGCUGCCCCCCCCCCCGUCCCCGAGCUCCCCCCCCCCCCUCCCCUCCCCAUUCCCUGCCCCUCCCCGCAGCCCCGCGCACCGCCCCGGCCGCUUCCUUCCCUCCCUCCCCUUCCCGCGGCGCUGCCCGUCGGGACUCGUAGUCCUGCGGCUGCCGGCCCCGGCCAGGUCCGGUCCCGAGCUGCUCCCCCCGGUCCCGCUCCGCACCCCCCGGCUCCGCUCCGCACCCCGCACCCCGCACCCCGCACCCCGCCUGUUGCUGCGCGCCCCGCUCCCGGCUCCGCGCCCCGCACCCGGCUCCGCGCUCCCCCUGUUGCUCCUCGCCCCGUUUCCAGCUCUGCGCCCUGCUCCCGGUUCCGCUCCCACCUCCCGGUUCCGCACCCGGCUCCGCACCCAGCUCCGCACCCCUCUCCAAGGGCCCUCUCCAAGGCUCCGCGCUCCCCCUGUUGCUUCUCGCCCUGUUUCCAACUGUGCGCCCUGCGCCCGGCUCUGCGCUCCCCCUGUUGCUCCGCGCCCCGUUCCCGGUUCCUCUCCCAGCCCCCGGUUCCGCACCCAGCCCCGGUUCCGCUCCCAGCUCCGCUCCCGGUUCCUCGCCCCGCACCCGGCUCUGCGCCCCCCCCGUUGCUCCGCGCCCUGCUCCGUGCCCCCUUCCCAGCUCCUCUCCAUCUCCGCGCCCCAGCCCUUCUGCGCUCCCCCCGCGAAGCAGAACCCCCCCUACCCCGGGCUAUGGUCCUUGGGGGGCUGGGGAUGGUCCUCGGGGGGCUGGGGAUGGUCCUGGGGGGGCUCAGCCCCACUGCGGGCAUCGGGGCAGGAGCACGGAGCUGCUGCUCUCACCUUGCCGGGGGCUUCGUGGGGAGCUUUUGGCCAGGGAAAGGCAAAGCAGAGCCGUGGCCAAGGGGUCUCUUUAUUUUUUUUUGAGGGGGGGGCACUCGGGACAGGUCGUGGCCAUGGGGUCCCGGGGCAGCCCCCCCGGGGCAGGCGGUUGGAGCGCUCACAUCCAGCCAUGUCCCCGGGUUGUUUUUUUUUUUGCACUUUUGAAACCUCCCCAGG